GAAGUGACAACAGGAUCCCGAGCAGUAACUGAGGCAGAAACAGUUGUCUCCGGCUCACGCUUCGCUAACUUCCCUAUAUAGCCUAGAUGCAUGGCAGCCUGGAUUUUCCCUCAUGAACCACAACCAAGACAACCUGUCACAGACACGGUCCCAGGCCACUGAAAUCUGGGAAUUCCUCGGUUGAGCUUCCCUUUUUCAAGAUGAUUCUAGGUUGUGAUAAAAGUUGACAAAUAAAACUAGCUGAACUGCUUCAAGGCACACGGCCUGGCUGACCGGAACACCGGAAGUUCCCUACGCCGAGACAGGAAGCACAUUAGGGGAAAUACUUUGGAAGGGUAGAAGUCUGGCAUUUAAUGCUGGCCACGAUAUGUUCAGAUACAAACUAGUAUGCAGCACUACUGAAUAAGCAGGCUAUUUCAAGAGUCAUCGGUGUCCUAAAUGUAUUCUUCCCCUGGGCCCUUCCACAGUAGGGAGACAUGGGGAUUUCUGCCCUAUUCAAAACGUGCUCGUGAAUGUCUACAGAAACUUCAAGACCUUAACAACUUCCAGACAAAGCAAGAUGGUAACUGUAAGGAAACAAUGUAUGCUUUUACAGUAUAUGAUGAAUCCCCAUAGAGCUGUCUGCAGUGGCUACGCCAGGUCACCUCAGGUAGAUCUCAAACAAGCCAUGAUUUCAGAGUCUCCACAACUAACUGCGAGGCAAAACGAUACUUCUUGUUCCAGAUUUUUAUUUAUAAACAAGACCAGUCUGAGCAGUCUCGGUGUAAAUAAAUACCCAAAUAAACAAAGAAAGGAAAGAGCGGGGAGCGGGGAGAUGCGUUCCUAUCUGUGGAAAGGCAGUGGUGAGGAAAUUCCAUUAAUUAAAAAACUCAUGUAGAGGUUACCGGCAUGCUGUAGAAGUAGGUACCACCAAAAGCAAAGGCGCACGUACAAUAACAGGAAGUGGUAGGGGCUGUGGUAUUCUGCAGGGCCCAGGGUGGAGGUGGGGAUAGGAAGGCUUGUAUGCCACUAUUGUGAAAGAUGGAAGGAAGGCUAAUGCAGUCUGAUUUUGUGUUGUUUCUAGAACAACCAGAAACAUGUGUAUUUACAUGAAGUCUAAUUUUAAAAGGCUGGACUCGCGUUCACAUUUUCAAAAAGUCCCAUGUAAAAGCCAAACAAAACAUAUCUGCAGAAUGCUAUUGAUUGAUGGCUUUUAACUUUCACUUUCUAAAUUUGCCAGCUACACGCAAACUGUUUUAAUUAUUGACUGAGUGGAUCUUUUAAAUCCCCUCAUGGCUUUGACGACCUUUUUUCCUGCAUAGGAGAGACCGUGCAUUUUACUUAUGACCUGAAGUUUCUAUUUACGUAUGAAGUGCUAAUAUUCACAUAUACAGGAGUAAAAGCAUACUAAUAAUACAAUAUACAUAAUUCCCCACCUUUUCAAGAUUUCUUAAAAUGAAAGUUGUCAGCUUUCUUAUUGUUUCUGUGUAAAAACUUCUCAGAUUAUAGCUCUGCGUUAACAACACGGAACAAAGGAAAGUCGGCUUUGCCGACUCCAAAAUAGGUUGACAUUUUGAAAGACCGUCAUGAAAUGUUUCUUCAAACGAUGUUUCAGAAAUCGCAAGAGGUGGAAGAAAAAGGACAGGCUCUGACUGGAUUCAACCCAUGGUGGAAAGGAUUUUUAUUAUGAUCCUGGGUGUUUUUCAUAUUUCCCCCAGUAAGUCAUUUUUUCAUCCCCCCUUUUUUUCUGGAAAUCUUCACUGAAAGAAAGGAACCCAAGAUGAUGGAGUAGACUUUGUGGGGCACAUUACCUUUUUCCUUCCCAAUAGGUGGCUGGAACCUAGUUCAUGACCCUAGAGGAACUAGCGCUCAUUGUCAACUCAAUACAAUCUAGGUGUAAUCUAAGAAGUCCUAAUGUGGAUUGUCUAGACUAGGUUAGUUAUGCACGUGUCUGUGAGGGAUUAUUCUGCAUAGAUUGAUCCCAGUGGGACAGUCCUCUAGACAGGAAAUGGUGGACUCUGUGAGCAUGGAGAGAGCAAGCUGAGCACUCUGGUGCAUUCGUAAACUCCUUGCUCUGUGGUCUUGACUAUGGAUGUAAUAUAUGCCUCAGGUGUCCUGACUUCCCCACAAGAAUAAACUAUAAAUGAACUGUGAACCAACUAAAUUCCUUAGCCCCUAAGUUGCUUUUAUCAAGAUGUUUUAUCACAGGAAAACACACACACACACACACACACAAAAUUGGGAAGAAUUCCAUCUUCCGGAGAACUCUUGGGGGUCGUUUGCCCUGGAGUGGCUUCAUUUCCACACGCUGCAUGUAUCUAUACAGUUGGAAGGCAGGUUCUUCUUUCUUCCUGCUUUACUUUUGAAAUAACUGAGAGAAGGGAUGCCUGAGUGGGGUUAGUUCUUACAAUUCCAAUAGCUGGCAUGUUAGGUGGGCAAGUGACUUCUUUUUCCCUACAGUUAAAAACGCAAGGUUACAUAUAAUAGCAGAAGCUGCCACAGUCGGGUGAUGAAGUGCAGGUGCUGGGAUGCCAUCCACCAUCUUCCUUAGACAGAGCCUUCACUCUUACUGAUGAGCACGUAGAGGAAGCUGCAAGAGACAGGACAAAGUGGGGUUCCACAUCCAUCUCCUGAAUGGGCUGACAGGCUUGGUAAGAAGGAUUUUGCUAAGCCUAUUACAGGGUGAGGCACCUGUCUUCAAUAAUAAAUAUUAGUUUAAAUGAUUGC
rnacentral:lncRNA from 1 species